rnacentral:rRNA from 1 species
GUUGUGCAUGCCAAUAAAUUUUUGAUGACUCUCGGCCAACGGAUAUCUUGCUCUUCCAUCGAUGAAGAACGCAGCGAAAUGCGAUAAGUGGUGUGAAUUGCAGAAUCCCGUGAACCAUCGAGUCUUUGAACGCAAGUUGCGCCCAAGGCCAUCAGGCUAAGGGCACGCCUGCCUGGGCGU